rnacentral:rRNA from 1 species
CCUACGGGAGGCAGCAGUGGGGAAUUUUGGACAAUGGGCGCAAGCCUGAUCCAGCAAUGCCGCGUGAGUGAAGAAGGCCUUCGGGUUGUAAAGCUCUUUCAGUUGAGAAGAAAAGAUUGUAACUAAUAAUUGCAAUCCAUGACGGUAUCGAC